rnacentral:rRNA from 1 species
UACGUAGGUGGCAAGCGUUGUCCGGAUUUACUGGGCGUAAAGAGCGCGCAGGCGGUCGUUCAAGUCGCGUGUGAAAGCCCCCGGCUCAACUGGGGAGGGUCACGCGAUACUGAUCGACUCGAAGGCAGGAGAGGGAAGUGGAAUUCCCGGUGUAGUGGUGAAAUGCGUAGAUAUCGGGAGGAACACCAGUGGCGAAGGCGACUUCCUGGCCUGUUCUUGACGCUGAGGUGCGAAAGCGUGGGGAGCAAACAGG